GCGGGCGCCAGCCCAGCUGGCAAAGGCGUCGGCUUCGUAGAAGCUGAUAUGCGUGACGGGCGCGGAAGGAUCGAUUUCGCCCCAGCCCGCA
rnacentral:tRNA from 1 species